rnacentral:rRNA from 1 species
CUAAUACAUGCAAGUCGAGCGGACAGAAGGGAGCUUGCUCCCGGAUGUUAGCGGCGGACGGGUGAGUAACACGUGGGUAACCUGCCUGUAAGACUGGGAUAACUCCGGGAAACCGGAGCUAAUACCGGAUAGUUCCUUGAACCGCAUGGUUCAAGGAUGAAAGACGGUUUCGGCUGUCACUUACAGAUGGACCCGCGGCGCAUUAGCUAGUUGGUGAGGUAACGGCUCACCAAGGCGACGAUGCGUAGCCGACCUGAGAGGGUGAUCGGCCACACUGGGACUGAGACACGGCCCAGACUCCUACGGGAGGCAGCAGUAGGGAAUCUUCCGCAAUGGACGAAAGUCUGACGGAGCAACGCCGCGUGAGUGAUGAAGGUUUUCGGAUCGUAAAGCUCUGUUGUUAGGGAAGAACAAGUGCAAGAGUAACUGCUUGCACCUUGACGGUACCUAACCAGAAAGCCACGGCUAACUACGUGCCAGCAGCCGCGGUAAUACGUAGGUGGCAAGCGUUGUCCGGAAUUAUUGGGCGUAAAGGGCUCGCAGGCGGUUUCUUAAGUCUGAUGUGAAAGCCCCCGGCUCAACCGGGGAGGGUCAUUGGAAACUGGGAAACUUGAGUGCAGAAGAGGAGAGUGGAAUUCCACGUGUAGCGGUGAAAUGCGUAGAGAUGUGGAGGAACACCAGUGGCGAAGGCGACUCUCUGGUCUGUAACUGACGCUGAGGAG